rnacentral:tRNA from 1 species
GGAGAGGUGCCGGAGUGGUUUAUCGGGCUCGCCUGGAAAGCGUGUAAAGGGUUCACCCCCUUUCGUGGGUUCGAAUCCCACCCUCUCCGCCA